rnacentral:rRNA from 1 species
GACGAACGCUGGCGGCGUGCUUAACACAUGCAAGUCGAACGGAAAGGCCCUGCUUUUGUGGGGUGCUCGAGUGGCGAACGGGUGAGUAACACGUGAGUAACCUGCCCUUGACUUUGGGAUAACUUCAGGAAACUGGGGCUAAUACCGGAUAGGAGCUCCUGCUGCAUGGUGGGGGUUGGAAAGUUUCGGCGGUUGGGGAUGGACUCGCGGCUUAUCGGCUUGUUGGUGGGGUAGGGGCUUACCAAGGCUUUGACGGGUAGCCGGCCUGGGAGGGUGACCGGCCACAUUGGGACUGAGAUACGGCCCAGACUCCUACGGGAGGCAGCAGUGGGGAAUAUUGCACAAUGAGCGGAAGCCUGAUGCAGCAACGCCGCGUGCGGGAUGACGGCCUUCGGGUGAUAAACCGCUUUCUCCGGUGACGAAGCGUGAGUGACGGUAAUGGGUAAAGAAGCACCGGCUAACUACGUG